rnacentral:misc_RNA from 1 species
GCAAACUUGGUCAUUUAGAGGAAGUAAAAGUCGUAACAAGGUUUCCGUAGGUGAACCUGCGGAAGGAUCAUUAAUGAAUAAACUUGGUCGAGCUGUUGCUGAUCCCUCGGGAUAUGUGCACGCUUGCCACCAAAUUUAACCACCUGUGCACUUUUUGUAGACUGGAGACGUCGCUCGAGGCAACUCGGAUUGGGAACUGCUGCGCGAAAGCCGGCUGUUCUUGUGUUUCUCAGUCUAUGUUUUUCAUAUACUCCGAAUUGUAUGUAUAAGAAUGUAUUGACAGGCCUUAGUGCCUCUAAACCUAAUACAACUUUCAACAACGGAUCUCUUGGCUCUCGCAUCGAUGAAGAACGCAGC